CAGCCAUGCCCUCCUUGGGCGUUUCCUCCCUAGACUUGGGCCGUUGAUCGGGGAUCGAUCAGCGGCCCCUUUCAUUAGAUGGG
rnacentral:sRNA from 1 species